GACGUGGGGGGCCAGCGUUGCUCGGAAUAACUGGGCGUAAAGGGUCUGUAGGCGGUGCGGCAAGUCGGGAGUGAAAUCUCAGGGCUUAACCCUGAGGCUGCUUCCGAAACUGCCGUGCUCGAGUGCGAGAGAGGUGAGUGGAAUUGCAGGUGUAGCGGUGAAAUGCGUAGAUAUCUGCAGGAACACCAGAGGCGAAGGCGGCUCACUGGAUCGCAACUGACGCUGAGAGACGAAAGCUAGGGGAGCAAACAGG
rnacentral:rRNA from 1 species